rfam:Gossypium arboreum cultivar AKA8401 contig_12056_5, whole genome shotgun sequence.
AAUCCUGUGGUGAGAGCAUCUUUAAAGUAACUCCUUGAAUCUUUCCCACACCUUGUGUAAGGACUCAUCAUCCAUUUGUUGAAAAGUGCUGAUCUCAUUCCGCAACU